rnacentral:rRNA from 1 species
GACGAACGCUGGCGGCGUGCUUAACACAUGCAAGUCGAACGGAAAGGCCCUGCUUUUGUGGGGUGCUCGAGUGGCGAACGGGUGAGUAACACGUGAGUAACCUGCCCUUGACUUUGGGAUAACUUCAGGAAACUGGGGCUAAUACCUGAUAGGAGCUCCUGCUGCAUGGUGUGGGUUGGAAAGUUUCGGCGGUUGGGGAUGGACUCGCGGCUUAUCAGCUUGUUGGUGGGGUAGUGGCUUACAAAGGCUUUGACGGGUAGCCGGCCUGAGAGGGUGACCGGCCACAUUGGGACUGAGAUACGGCCCAGACUCCUACGGGAGGCAGCAGUGGGGAAUAUUGCAAAAUGGGCGGAAGCCUGAUGCAGCAACGCCGCGUGCGGGAUGACGGCCUUCGGGUUGUAAACCGCUUUCGCCUGUGACGAAGCGUGAGUGACGGUAAUGGGUAAAGAAGCACCGGCUAACUACGUG